rnacentral:rRNA from 1 species
UACGGAGGAUGCGAGCGUUAUCCGGAUUUAUUGGGUUUAAAGGGUGCGUAGGCGGCGAGUUAAGUCAGCGGUAAAAGCCCGGGGCUCAACCCCGGCCCGCCGUUGAAACUGGCUGGCUUGAGUUGGGGAAAGGCAGGCGGAAUGCGUGGUGUAGCGGUGAAAUGCAUAGAUAUCACGCAGAACCCCGAUUGCGAAGGCAGCAUACCGGCGCCCAACUGACGCUGAGGCACGAAAGCGUGGGGAGCAAAUAGG